CCUACGGGAGGCAGCAGUGAGGAAUAUUGGUCAAUGGGCGCUAGCCUGAACCAGCCAAGUCGCGUGAAGGAUGACUGCCCUAUGGGUUGUAAACUUCUUUUAUAUGGGAAUAAAGUGCAGUAUGUAUACUGCUUUGCAUGUACCUUAUGAAUAAGGAUCGGCUAACUCCGUGCCAGCAGCCGCGGUAAUACGGAGGAUCCGAGCGUUAUCCGGAUUUAUUGGGUUUAAAGGGAGCGGAGGCGGGUUGUUAAGUCAGUUGUGAAAGUUUGGGGCUCAACCGGAAAAUUGCAGUUGAUACUGGCAGCCUUGAGUACGGUAGAGGUAGGCGGAAUUCGUGGUGUAGCGGUGAAAUGCUUAGAUAUCACGAAGAACUCCGAUUGCGAAGGCAGCCUGCUGGACUGUAACUGACGCUGAUGCUCGAAAGUGUGGGUAUCAAACAGGAUUAGAUACCCUAGUAGUC
rnacentral:rRNA from 1 species